rnacentral:lncRNA from 1 species
CUCUAAUAAGGCUUUUGAUAUCUGGAGCUCAUAGGUGGGAGACAGCUAAUACAUACUUACAUGACAUUUAUUGCAUAGUCAAACUAUGGAUCCAGAAGAACAAGUCAAUAAGUCAAAUCAAGAUGUGCAUGUGUGGUGAAUGAAUGAUGCAUGGUAAUGAUGGUGAUAACAAUGGUGAAAGUCUAAUUCUACUUUUGCUCUUUUGAGGGGAUACAUACCUUCCUUGCUCUUUUGAAACUUUUGGGGAGAAUGAGAUGCUCUGUAUUUUCUUUUUCUUUCCUCUCAGGUGGGUAUCUUGUACCCCUAAUUCUACUGUCGGACACUUGUCCAUUUUUACCUCUCGUCUCACUUUUUUUUCUUUUCUUUCGAGGUUCCGGGCACUUGCCCCUUUUUAUUUCCUCGUAUUUAUUUUUUCUCUCUCUCUUCUUCUCUUUUUUAGAGCACUCAUCUCUUGAAAUAAUAUAGCAAGUGGUAGUAACAAGAUAACUUGAGCAUUUAUUUCAUAGGGGAAAAACUGAAAUAUUUUUUGCUAUUCUCUCCCAGAUUAGGAGUAGAAUAUUUUUGGAUGGUUCUGGAGAUGGAAAUGGGUGCAUAUAUGUGGAUGCGUACUUCCGGAGUAGAAGCAGCAUGUAUGACUAGUAUGAGUGAACGUGCAAGUGAAUCUUGACUUAACCACAUGACAAGCUCCUAAGGGUCUACACAGCUUGACCACACUCAAUGCUCAUAAGCAGUAAAAAGUAAAUGUGUGGCUCAAAGUCUAGCAAGCAUGUAUAUAUGGCUGUGGUAGGAAUUUAAACUCUCAUCAUACAGGAACUCAUCAUGUGAUAUUUUUAAGAUUUUCAAAGAUAAAAUUCUCCAGAAUUCUAGCAUCUUUAGGAACAGAUAAACAGCAGCUCAACCUUCCCAUAUCGUAUCCGUUAACGACUUAGACUUUAGAUCAAGUACUCUCCCCACAAGUUCAGGUUUAGAGCAAAUGUUAAUUAAUAACAGUCAUGCCUAAACUUAAGAGAGAUUUCAAUUUUGAGAAUUUAGUCAUGGCAGAGCAACUAUUCAUCAUUUCGAUGUGAGAGCUUAUCAUGAGGGUUCAUAGCAAACUUUAUUUAUUUAUUUAUUUCGCAAACUAAGCAAAGAUAUAAGCACAAAAUCUUUAUUUGGGUUUUUAUGAUUAUGCAUUAUUAUUUGAGUAAAAUAUAAACGUGAGUAGAACACUUAGCUGGAUAAAUGGGGGUGCUCUCCCCCAAGCUAGAUCUUGGCGUAAUUCCUUCUGAUGUAGCUGGUGGCGGAGGUGUAGUUGAAUGUCGGCAGCACCCUGACAGUGAUUUGAUGUCCUCCGUCUGCUAGUCUUCUUUGAUCCUUGAAUUCUGUGGAGCUCAAAUAGACAACAAAGCUUUGUGGAACUGGUUAAGUGUUAGCAUAAAUAUCUAGCCUUUAUCAUGUUCAGCCUCCUCAAUAAAUGUUACUCUCUUUAGUAGGAACAUAAAUCUUUUUAUAGGACAGGAAUAUAUUUAUUUCAUUCUUACACCACCACAGUGAAUGUACUUAUGGGUUUUAUGCCAUGAGCAUACUCACAUGGGGCUUACUAUUUUUAACAUUUUUAUUUUAUUUUCGAGAUGAUAUGAACCUGAUUAACUAAGCAAACUAUUUUAAAUUAAUUGAAAGGAAAAAGAUAACUACCAAGUUUACCUCUUGGCAAUGCGUUCGGUGUUUUUUUUAAGUCCUCCGAACAGGACUCUCCGUUUUCUCAGUCGUCCUGGGAUUCGUUGAAUGGCGUAGUCGGUGGUUCCGGCGGCGCCUUCUCUUCAUGUAUAACUAUCUUCUCUCUCCACACCUGACUCGGUGCUACGGUUUCCUCAGGAUAGUUCUGUUCAAGUUGUAUGUCUUCAGACCUCACUACUUCUCCUUCGUAGUCUGUCCAUCCAUCCUUGAUGAUUUGCCUCCUCUGGUUGCGGUUGCGUCGUCUUCUUCUUGUCCUGACCUGCUUAGAAUCUUUAACUAUAUAGUUAGAGUCAGUAAAAUAGCGGCGUACCUUCUCAGAGGGGAAGUGCAUGUGGACUUCUCCGGUUUCAAUGUAGAUGAUUGCUUUAACGGUGCUGAGAAACGGUCUCCUAAGGAUGAUGGGUGGAUCGUACUUGUCUUCAACCUUUCGGAAUAUCUGAUCUACCAUCUGGAGCUGAAUGUAUGUCGGUUUUAGGGGCAUGGUUCCGAAUAGGAGUUGAUAGGUGACUGGGUCGUCCUUUUUGUCAGGAAUGGUGACUUAAGUUGAUGAUCUUGACCUCCAUGAACUGCAGUGACCAUCUUAGCUGACUCGGUCCACAUUUGCUUGUUCCUGUUCCUCCUAUUGGUCCUCUUCCUUGGUUCAUGUCGGGAUUGCUCUGAGAUUUGUGUAGUCUUGUUCUUGAUGGAAAACGUCUCAUUCCUCCCCCUUGAUGUAGAAACUGAACUUGGCAGUACUAGCGUAGAUGACACCUCCUGAGGUGUUUAGGAAUGGCUUCCCUAGAAUGAUGGGUGCCCUCUCAUCUGUACCAGUCUUUAUCACCACGAAGUCUGCUGGGGCUUACAAGGUACCAACUCAGACACAGAGGUUCUUCAAUAUUCCCUUUGGGAAACUUAACGCCUGAUCUGCAAACUGCAAACACAUGGUUGUUUCUAAUAAAGGAUGUGCAAAGAAUUUUUCAUAGAGUACCCUGGGUAUAAUGUUGACGUAGGAGCUAAAGUCACAGAGUGCUUCUGGGAAGUUCACCAUGCCGAUGGAGAUCGGGAUGACGGUGCGUCCUGGAUCGCCUCUCUUGACCGGUAGAAGGUCAGUAAUUACUUCCACAACGGGGUUACUCCAGUAGUUAUGUCCUCAAGCAUCUCAGGGUAGUGAUUGCCUGAGUGUCCAGUAUCUCCAGUGUGUUUGUGCUCGUAGAUCUAGGUUCAUCACUUGGUAGAGUCUGGGAGUUGUAAAAGUCCUUCAUAGUUUGCUUGAAGUGUACCUGCUCAUAGAGACAAGGCAGAGAUCAAGUGCAUGGGCCCUGUUGGUGGAAAACACCAACAGAACCAAAAGUGUAUUUGUUCUACUCUAACCUUAAGCAUAGUGAGCAAGACAAAGUUGUUGGAUAAUCAGAUCAUGAGUGUAGCAUUUAAAACAUUUGUCAGAUCAGAUCGCUCAACCUAAUGGAAAGAUAAUCUAUCUAUACUUAUGUUUUUAUAUAUAUGUUCCAAAGAUUGAGUGUGCAACAUUUUAGCUGAUAAGAUUAGGAGUGUGGGAUCACAAAGGUGGAAGGACUAAACAUGUUGAAUCGAUUGGGUUGGUUAAUCUAGAGUUGUAAAUCAUAUAUGUUUGUCUCUUUUAUUCAUGUGAACGCUAGAACCAAGGAGAAACUUAUAAAAGUGAUAGUCAAGUACCUUAAGAUGUUACCUUACUUGAAGAGUGAUGGUACAGUAUCACCUUGUGGAAGCUUUCCUUUCUUAGUGGUUGUGCAUCGUGUUUAUGGCACCCUCCAUGGAUCAUCUCUUGUGAGCUAUGCCUUCCUUAUGUAAAUUGUUAAACUUCAUGUGUCUCUCUCUGUCUCCAAUGUGAAUUUAUCUCAGGCCUUCCCAGGUUGAUAUUGAAAGUUUUCCUGCAGGGGUUAGUCCAACAAAAUAUCCAAUAUCUACUAUAGCAUACUAUCGGCUCAAAAAUCAACCUAGACACCAUGUCUAAUUUGAUUCAGGAGGGCAUUUUAACCUAAGCAUCAUGCUUAAUUUAAAAUCCUUUGGAAGUAAGAUCAUCAUUCCUAAACUAAGCACCAUGCUUAAUUAAGAGAUAAAUGAAACUACUCCAAACCUGGACAUAUACUAAAGCAAAUAAAGGUGGUAUGAGAGCAUUUAUAGAGAUCUACUCAAGUGGAGAUGAAGUAGUGUGAUUAGUAUUUCACAAAUUGAGCAUGUCUCAAAGGUAGGGUCAACCAACAUAGCAACAUGGCAAAGGGUGUUUUUAUGUAAAGUACUCCCCCAAGCUUGAAUUUUGCAAAAUGGAUGAGUUUAAUUCAAUGUUGUAUGAUGAUUGGUUGAACAUACCUUGUGCUUGUCAUUCAUCUGAUCUUCUUGCUCCAAUCCUGGAUAGGUUAGUGACAAGAAUACCCGAAGGAAUAUUUUUACAAUUGUCCUUAUAUGCUCAACACACAAGGUAAUGUUGCAACUAAUUAAAAGCUCAUGUUACAAUCUGAUCAGUGCUUGUUUUAGGACACUAAGCUUGUCCUUGGGAAACCAUUAAUUUAUGUCAGCGAAGUGGUUUCCCCUCCAAUGCUGACCUAUAUCAAGAUCAACUCAACGAGAUCUACAAUAUUUAAUAUAGACAUAUGCAUCGACAACCGCCCUUUUAAAGUUUUUAUAAAUAGAAAGGAAGUGGGGGUUGGAGAUCUCGAAUGUGGUGAUGUUGGAGAGACCAAUGGAUUGUGAAGAUGUUGCAUAUGAGCAUGGAGUAAAUGAAGUGGCUAUGAAAUAAAUUCCAUGCUCAUUAAUGCUUAGAGUGAAAUCCAUGUGGUGAAAAUGGUAAGGUGAGUGUGGUAAAAAAGCAAAAUAAAAAGGAUACACGGACGACUUGGUCCGAAACUAGCACAACUACCGUUCCCUAGCAACGGCGCCAGAAAGCUUGUUGGGUAUUUUAAACGCAAACAGAAAAAUCCGCAAGCGCACGGAUACCAAUGUAGCCUUCACCCGGGAGUAUUCCAGAGUAUCGAUUUUCCACAGGGAACGUGAGUGUACUAAUUAAGAUCCAAGAUCGCCCAAUGAUAACUAUAUGAUUAUUUUUGGUGGGAAGAGAGGAAGUUUCCUGAGAGUUCUCUAGUUGAUUUAAGAAUCAAGAAUUACUUCAAGAUUAUCUAUUUCGGGACAUCAGAACACUAACCACAGAAAGAGAUGAGAAGGGGGCUAGGAAGCUCUGACUACGGUCCUACAAACACCGAUCCGAACGAGGUGGAAUACGUCGACCGAUAGGGCUGUCAAUACCCUAGGGCUACCACAACAAUCCGUAGGAUUGGGUGCAAUUCCAGGUAAUUGCAAGACUAAACACCACGUCUAAUCUAUUAAUUACUACUCUAAUGUUUCAAAGAUUAGAGCACUUGAUGCAAGCGGGAAUCCAAUAAAUAACUUGAAUAUAAAUAAAAGUAAUUAAAGAACUCAGGAUUAUGAAUUGAAGAACCUGGAGAACGAUGAAGAACGAACCAGUUGAUACAAAAGUACAAUGUUGAGGAAGAUCUGACAGAUCCGGCUCCUCCUCCGCUCUCCUCUUCUCUCUCCCUAUUUUCUAGAUUACAACUAGAACUAACUAGAACAAGAACAAGGGGAACUAGAACUAGAACUAGAUGAACUAGAACUAGAUCUAGAUGAACUAGAGGUAGAACUAGAAGAACUAGAGGGAUCCUCUCUACUUGGAUGAAGAAUUGAAACCCUAACUUUGAUUCUGUAGAAGAGGUAUGAUCUCCAGGGGCCAGGGGGUCUAGUUUUAUAGUCCCUUCAAGUGAAUCUGGGCCGUUGGAUCAAACUGACAUUAAUCGCACGGUUUUCCUUGGUCCCUUAGGUCGGUGGAACACGAUCCGCGAAGUUGAAGUUGAAUGGUUGCUGUAGCUGGGCGGGCACCCAAGGGGGGAGGGCGGGCGCCCUGCCCCCGGGCCCCAUCGGCCUCCCGUUCGUUCCCGUCGCUUCUGGAGUCUUCUAGAUGGUAGAAAAUUGCGCGGCAUGUUAAUAUCUCUAUGUAAACCCGACGUGUGGGCCUUUCUUCGGUAUUUCCUGAUAACCCCCUACAGAAAUAGACAAACACCAAAACUUGUGGAAUUCUAUCAGAUAAAACCCUAAGUCUAGGUGUUGGUUGCAUUUGGAUCCUUUUCCAUGAUUAGUUGAUGGUUAAAUAUGAGCAUUAAGGACCGUCAACAGCAGGCGGGCAUGGCGAUCGAGGACCUGCGCGUCACCAACACCGACCUGGCGCGCUCCUACAAUGGGAUCGAGAGGGCCAACACCGACCUCGUUGGUGAGAACACCGCUCUAGAAGAGAAGAUUCGCGGUACGUUUCCACUAUAAUGUUCUCUUCCAAGGGCAUGACUUGUGUUAUCUAACUUCUCCGUGUCGGUCCUUGUAGGGCUUAAAGAUGAGCUGCUUGCUGCUCAAGUCGAGGCCCGCUCCACCACGGCUCAGCUCGAGGGGGAGGUCGCUCUGAACCGUCGGCUGCGGACGGCGAUAAGCGAUCUCUCGGCCUCUUGGGAGCUCGAACCAAUGGACGAGUCGAGGGAGGAGGCUCGAGGCGACGCACUGGUCGACCAGCUGUGCUAUCUAGGUGCCACGCUGAGGGAUCGAGUGCGGGACGCUCUUCAUAUCGGAGUGAAGCGGGCAAUGGCGGUAGUCUGCUCAGGCUUUUCUUAUGAUAUGGAGGUGGUGUCUGUGGCAGAACCUCCUAAGUGUUUGGGCCCACCGACACCUGUCAUUGUCCUAAGGACCUCUAACGGUGAUGUCGGGGAUCCUCCCACUCUAGAAGUCCGAUGAGCAUCUCAGGAUGCUCAUUCGACCGCCACCUGUGGCGUAUCAAACAAGCUCGUCUUGACCACUAGCAAUGGUCAAUUAACGAAAACUUCUUCUCCUCGCCCUUACAGGAUAGCAAGUGGCCACCUUAACAACAGGAUCACUCGUUGCGAAGACAUUGCAGUAUCACAAAUGACAUAAGACCAAAAUAAUAUUUCAGAGUAAAACAGUGGAAGCAUUACAUGACUUAAUUUACAAAAGUAGUUCUUCCAAAUAGUAGAGUGUUAUUACAAGCCAGGUCCAAUGGAGCAACUUAAACUUUAGUACACAGGUUACAAAUUUAUAGACCCUGCCCAUGGGUCACGCUCACACUUCCUCGUCGUCAACCUCGACGACGAUCACACAACAGGGCCCGAAACAUGUCGGCUCCUGAGCUUCACCUGCAACAGGGGUAAUAAAACCCUAAGUACGGGAGUACUCAACAAGACUUACCCGGCGGAAAAAGAGGAGAAAUUAGGGAUGCAGGCUUGGGGUAGACAAGGAGUGGCUGAGCAUGGAGCCAAGUUGUUUUGCUAAAAAGCUUACUAAUAGUGCAUCCUUACUUUCAAGUUUUACCCGCAAAUUCCUCUCCUUAAGAGGUCGAGGAGUUCGAGGACAGUCUAUCUAGUUGCUUCUCACAGACAAGUCUGUGAGCUCCUAGUCCUUAAUCAAAGUAUUUUCUAUCCAACGGCCAUAGCUUCAUGUCACUCUGAGUCCGGGAAUUGGAAUCCGAACCUCAUGCGACAUUUCCCCUUUCUCAUUUUACCCCUUAGUUGCAUAUUUAACUACGAUGAGGGUCGAAGGAAUUGAGUCUCCCAAUCGGGGAGCAACGACGAUUCGAAUCGCUUAGCAAUCCAGGUGGAGUUCCUAACCACCCGACAUAUGUAGAACCAAAUCUUGCAUAUGUCAACCCAAAUCGAGCUCUCCCCAAAUUUGACUAGGUUCGCGGCACCCGAGAGCACAGUACUCCACCAUCCUACAGCCGAUCUAGAUGUUUUCCGGUCAUCUCAGAUCUGUAAGGUGGGUACACGCUACUCUCGUCAUCGCUCCACGCCCAGUGUGCGAGUAGCUGUUCGCGUCGAGGGAUUACAAGAUCGGGCUUACCGAGGGCAAGUGGCUAGUACUAUAAAUUCUCAACCCAGGAGGCCAUCAACGGACCGGUCCUUAAUCGACACAGUUGGAGACACUACUUUAAGACUCCAUUCUUAAAUCAAGUCCACCGACCGGUCUCAAAUUGAAACAUUAUUGAUCAUAAGUGUAUUCCACAACAACCCUUCAAACUUUGUUGAAAACCUAUCUAGUAGCAGGGCUAAGCAUCACUACGCAAUUUUAAAAUAAAACAGGUGCCAAGGACAAGAUAACAAAUAUCAAGGUAGUAAAUGCAGCAAGUAGGUUAACCCAAUUCUCAACUACCUAAUGCAGCAUUUUCAAUUCAUAAGUGAUAAAAGAUUUCAAACAUUCAAGGAGGGGUUAAUGCAUCCGGGGCUUGCCUUGGUUGCAGAGAUAAGAGGGACCCUCGCAGACUUCCCAAGUCUCGGAUCCUACUUCUUCGAACGGAGCACCGACCUCGGGGUUCGGUUCAAUGGUCGCUCCUUCGGUCACGUGCACUAUACGCAAAAUGAUGGAUGAUCAUGAUAUGCGUAUGACAAAAUUUAAGAAGGACCGAGUUGAGUACAACUCUCCUUCUCGGUGCAAAACAGGCUAAACAGUAGUUAAAGUCGUUUAUUGUUUUAGGGUCUUUACCCAAGAGGUUGCAUUAGUAAAUUAAGACCUUUCUCAAUUCCUAAUUAUCAUUAAUUAACUGACUAUUAAACCUUUUUACCUUAAUUAAUUCUUAAUCAAGUAUUAAUGGCAGUAAUUAAGUAUUAACAUCAAACAAUAAUUAAAUGCCAAAGGUCAUUAAGGUUAAUGACCUCAGGUCAUCACACAAUCCCAAAAUCACUCAAAUUCUAAUUUUGAGAAUUUAAACUAAUAAUCAUCUAAUUAUUCUAGAAUUAUUAUUUAAUUACUAAUUAAGGGUAUACUAAUAUUUUAUUCAAACAUUAUCCAAAUGCCACCAAAUUUUGUGUGAAGCUAGGGAAUAAUAUUCAGAGGCAUCCCACAAAUUUUGGUGAUUUUUGGACAUAUAAUUAAAUUAUUAAAAAUCAUGGAAGUUUCAUUUACUAAUUAAAAGAGGCAAUUUUUAUAUACAUGCAAACUACCAGAAAAUAGAAUCCAAUAUUUUUCCUAGGUUCUACUCAUUUUAUGGAACCUAUACAGAAAUUUCCAUGAUUUUUGGAUCAGUGUACAAUUUUCUACACAAUUCUACAUAUCAAGCAUUUUUAAGCAAAAAGAAAAAGGGAAAACACACUGUGCUACGCGGUCGGCCCGCUUGGACACGGCCCAAGUCGGCCCGAGAGCCCUCCCGCGUCACGCGCGGGCGCUGCCUCUCUCACGCGGCCACUGACGGGUGGGUCCCGCUCGUCAGACCCUCCUUCCUCCUCUCUCUGCGAGACGCUGACGGGCCCGUCAGCUUCUUCUUCAUCACACACGGUGGCUCGGCCACGGCUCCGGCCGCCGUUGGCGAGGGUCUUGGCCCACACGCGCGUGCGCACCAGCACCGUCUCGCCUUCGCGACGGCACUGCUAUCCCCUAAGCGUGCUCUACCCUCUCCCUCCAUCUCGGCCACGCGAAUGGCGGGCGGCCGCCAUAGCCGACCACAGGCCGGCCACUAGGGCUCGAUACAGUGCAAACGAGCAAGUCAGGGAGGUUCGGGAAGAAGCAGGGAGCAUGGUGCUCACAUCACCACGGCGGGAGAAGCAACGGAGUGCUUUGGCGAUGGCAGCAGUGUCGUCGGGCGGGUGCUCCGGCUCCGGCAAGGUCGUUCCGGCGAUCCUGCUCGCGUCUAGGGAAGAAGAAAAAGCGCAUGAGCUGCAGGGGCUGAAGAGGAACGGAAACAACCGCUUGCAAGGUGUGUCACUCACUGGAACAGCGUGGCCACGGAGAGAGCUCCACGGCGGGGGUUCCUGCCGGAGUUGGGGGAGAAGAAGAGGUGCCGGUGAUUGGGCGGGUUAGAGGGUGAGUUAGGGGGUGCACUGAGUUCGCAAGGGUGUGGCGAACGUUGUGGAAUGCUCAAUUUGACUUGAGAUGGAUCGAGUACGGUGAAUUUGAGAAAGAGGGUCGUCGGGAUUCUUCGGCUCUGGACGGGGAAAACGCGCGGCGCCGUGCGCGCUGGUGCUCAAGGUGAGGGGGAAGCGAGCCCGGGGCGUCCACGUAGCCCAGUGACGCAGGCAGGCAGGCAGCUGCGUGCUCGCACGUGCGCACGCGGCGCUGCGCGCGUGUCGGCCGUGCUGGACAGGGGGCUGGUGAUCCUCAUCGGAUCACUGUAGCAACCCCUAUCCUCUCCUUUCUGUCCCUUUGCGAAAAUCGACCAAAAGUUGAACUGGAUCCAAAUUUUCACCAAAACAAAAGUUGUUCAGAAUUUUACAAGCUACAAAACAUAUUUUGGUGCCCAAAGCUAAUUCUGAGUGGAUAAAGGUGAAUUUGAUAAAACAGUUUGAAUUUCAAAUCCAAAUUGGGGAAAUUCCAAUUUUUGAAUUGGGGCAGAUCAGAAUUUCCAAAAUUACUUUUGAUUUUUCAUAACAACUUGAAAAAUUUCCAACAUGAAAGUUGUUCAACUUUUUGAGCUCUACAACUUUCAUGCUGGUCACUUUUCAAGAUUCCAAAUAGAUUUUGAAUUGGGGAUUCAAAUUGGAAAAGGGGACACUUUUUGGAAAUCUGUAUUUUCAAAAUUACUUUGAAUUUUGUAUUGAAACUUCAAAAACUCAAAACACCGAAGUUGUACAUCUUGACAAGAUCUACAACUCUGCUUUUGAACUCAACCUAAAAUUUUCCUUAGUUUUUAAAUUACACAAAAGGGGCAAUUCUAGGGUUCUAAAAUCAGGGUUUCCCCCCCCCAUUCUCUCAGAAAUCUUCCACCCUAGGAAUUAUACAACCAACACAAGCAUCACUUCACAACAUAAGCACACUUUAAUUCCCUAAGCACAUUCAACCAAAUUAAACUUAUUUUAAGUCAAUGCAUCAGGAUGUGCUUAACAAAUAUGCUAUGCAAUGCCUAUGAUGACAUGAUCCAAAUUUUAGUAACCGUAACAUCGGGGAUGUUACAGUGUCUCGCGGCUUCGUCACCGACAUCUCCAAGGCCGACGCGGAGAACGAGGAGAGGCUCCACGCCUUGAUCGACGAUGCAGAGGUCCCUGGGGAGAGGUUGGCCAAGUUGUUCGAGCCGGAAGUGCUUCCUCCCGAGACUAGCUCGGGCGCGGACGAGGGUGGUGAGGUCCGAGAUGCGGACUGAGGCCUGUGAGCCUACUCUAGGUGCUAAGGCCCCUUGUACAGUACUUGUUAUUCUGUCAGAAGUAAUACUGUGUUUUUGAGUGGUUUAUAAGAUCUCUGAGUAUUUGCUUACUCCUUUGUUCGCACGCUCUUUCCUUUUCUUUCUACCUAUGUCUGAAUUCUCCGUUUGGUCUUUUGUUGAGGCGACCUCGAUUGCCUCGAGGGUGAGGGGGCGAGUAGAGUUACCAUAGCCCGGGGGCGUAGGAGUUCCCAAGCUCGUUGUUUCUCGGCCCUUAAAGGGCUCAAAGUGCCUCUACUACUUGAUCGUGCGGGGUUUACUGGUAGGAACGAAAAAAUCACUUGGUUUUUUAGACAUUUGGGGGGGUCCCCCCCGCUAGCCCCCGAGGGGGUAUCGACUAUGAUGGGUCAUAGUUGGUACUCCCUUCUAACGUCGAGAUUUCGACGAGUGAAAAAGUAAAUUACUCGAGGGAAAGAUCUUAUUUAUUCAUGCAUUCAUUCAUAAGAUCUUGGUACAAAAUGUACGUGGGAACAUAAAGCUUUGGAAUUCUAGGGGCAGAAUCAACGUAGCUGUUCGAUGUUCCAUGCGUUGGUGAAGACUGCCCCUUUUUUGUCUGCGAGCUUGUACGUCCCUGGCUUCAGGACCUCGGCUACCACGUAUGGGCCCUCCCAAGGCGGGGUCAGCUUGUGGCGUCCUUGGUUGCUUUGCCGCCGCCGUAGGACGAGAUCACCCACGUUCAGAUCCCUUUUCCGCAUGUGCUUGUCGUGGUAGCGUCGGAGCUUCUGCUGGUAUCUGGUGGAGUUGAGGAGGGCCAUGUCUCGAGCUUCCUCGAGCUGGUCGACCGCGUUCUCUUGAGUCUCCUUAUUUGACUACUCGUUGUAGGCUUUGAGUCGAGGGGACCCAUACUCGAGGUCUGUUGGGAGCACAGCCUCAGAGCCGUAGACCAUGAAGAACGGGGUGUAUUUCGUGGCCCUGCUUGGCGUCGUCCUUAAGCUCCAUAGGACCGAAGAGAGCUCUUCGACCCAUUUCUUGCCGAAUUUCUUCAACCGGUUGUAGAUUCUUGGUUUAAGCCCUUGCAAAAUCAUGCCGUUGGCACGCUCGACCUGGCCGUUAGUUCGAGGGUGGGCCACUGCGGACCAGUUCACACGGAUGUGAUGCCGGUCACAGAAGUCCAAGAACUUUUUACCGGUGAACUGAGUGCCGUUGUCGGUGAUGAUGACGUUGGGAAUCCCAAAACGGUGGAUGAUGUCGGUGAAGAAACGGACGACCUGCUCGGAGCGGAUGUUCGUGAUGGGUUGAGCCUCGAUCCAUUUGGAGAAUUUGUCGACGGCCACUAGCAAAUGGGUGUAUCCCCCUGCCGCCUUCUGUAGAGGCCCUACUAGGUCAAGUCCCCACACCGUGAACGGCCAUGUGAUGGGGAUCAUCUGGAGACCGUGGGCGGGAAGAUGCGUCUGCUUGGCGUAAAAUUGGCACCCAUGGCACGAGCGUACGAGCUCGAUGGCGUCAGCUACGGCUGUUGCCCAGUAGAAGCCUUGUCGGAAAGCGUACCCUACGAGGGUCCGCAGAGCAGCGUGGUGGCCACAAGCCCCCGAGUGUAGAUCCUCGAGGAGCUUUCGGCCUUCCUCUAUGGUGAUGCAGCGCUGCAAGAUUCCUGUCGGGCUUCGUCGGUAUAGCUCAUUACCUUCGCCGUAGAUUAUGUAUGACUUGGCCCGUCGAGCGAUACGGUGGGCCUCAGAUCGAUCUUCUGGUAACUUGCAUCGAAUUAGGCAGUCGAGGAACGGCGUUCGCCAGUCGAACGGUCGACCGGGUCGCUGUUCUGCCUCCAUUACCUCUGCUGCCGCUAGCAGUGCCUCGAUGGUGUCAGUUUGGUGGGGGGCGGUGGUUUCGACGUCAGCCCCCGAGCCCAAGUCGAAGGAUGGCUCGUGGAGAUCUCUCGAGAAUGCGUCGGGCGGGACCGUGCCUCGAGUUGACGCGAUCUUAGCGAGUUCGUCGGCUGCCUCGUUGUAGCAUCGGGCGACGUGGACGAGCUCGAGGCCGUGGAACUUAUCCUCGAGCCGACGUACCUCCUUGCAGUAUGCCUCCAUUUUUGGGUCAUGGCAGUUGGAGGCUUUCAUCACUUGGUCGAUGACGAGUUGGGAGUCGCCUCGAACGUCGAGGCGUCGAACUCCUAGCUCGAUGGCGAUCUUUAGCCCAUUGACAAGGGCUUCGUAUUCCGCGACGUUGUUAGAUGCAGCAAAAUGUAUCCUGAUGACGUACCUCAUAUGGAUGCCUAGGGGCGAGAUGAACAGCAGGCCCGCCCCAGCUCCUGUCUUCAUGAGAGACCCGUCGAAAUACAUCGUCCAUAGUUCUGCUUGAACCUGAGCCGGGUGGAGCUGGGAGUCCGUCCAUUCCGUGACGAAAUCCACCAGAGCUUGAGACUUGAUAGCUUUGCGGGGCGCAUAAGUGAGGGUCUCACUCAUGAGCUCGAUCAACCACUUGGCGAUUCUUCCCGUGGCCUCCCGACUCUGGAUGAUCUAUCCCAAGGGGAAAGACGAGACCACCGUGAUAGGGUGGCUGAGGAAGUAAUGUUGCAGCUUUCGUCGGGCGAGGAUCACGGCGUAGAUUAGCUUUUGGAUCUGUGGGUAUCGUGCCUUGGUCUCCGAGAGCACUUCGCUGACGAAAUAGACCGGCCUCUGGACUGGCAGCACAUGCCCCUCUUCCUGCCUCUCGACCACCACUACCGCGCUGACGACCUGGGUCGUCGAGGCAACGUACAGAAGCAGAGGUUCUACGGGUUGAGGUGGGACCAGGACUGGGGCAGAGGUCAGUGUUUUCUUCAAGUUAUCGAGGCUUCCUCGGCUUCGGGGGUCCAAGAGAAACGCUCGGCUUUUUUCAAGAGCCGAUACAGUGGCAAUGCCUUUUCUCCCAACCUCGAGAUAAAACGACUCAGCGCCGCCAAACAUCCCAUGAAUUUUUGCACUCCCUUGAUGUCUCGGAUCGGCCCCAUUCUUGUGAUAGCCGAGACUUUCUCGGGAUUGGCCUCGAUGCCGCGUUGGGAGACUAUGUAUCCCAGGAGCAUGCCUCGAGGUACACCAAAGACGCAUUUCUCGGGGUUGUGCUUGAUUUUGUUGGCGCGUAUGCAGCUGAAAGUGAUCUCGAGGUCCUGAAUCAGGUCUCCUCGCUGCUUUGACUUAACGACGAUGUCGUCGACGUAUGCCUCGACCGUCGACCCUAUGUGUUUGCCGAACACGUGGAGCAUGCAUCGCUGGUAUGUUGCUCCCGUGUUUCGAAGCCCGAAUGGCAUGGUUACAUAACAAUACAUCCCAAAAGGCGUGAUGAAAGAUGUCGCGAGCUGGCCGGACUCUUUCAUUUUUAUUUGGUGGUAACCCGAAUAUGCAUCAAGGAAAGAAAGGGUUUCACAUCCCGCAGUAGAAUCAACAAUUUGAUUGAUACAUGGUAAUGGAAAAGGAAUUUUCGGACAUGCUUUAUUUAAACUUGUAUAAUCGACACACAUCCUCAUUUUCCCAUUCUUUUUCUUAACUAGUACAGGAUUUGCUAACUAGUCGGGAUGGUGAACCUUCUUGAUGAAUCUGGCCGUCAAAAGCUUGUGGAUCUCCUCACCAAUGAUCUUGCGUUUCUCCUCGUCGAAGCGACGCAACCGUUGUUUCACUGGUUUGGAACUGGCUCGAAUUUCCAAGGAGUGCUCGGCGACUUCCCUCAGUAUGCCUGGCAUGUCUGAGGGACUCCAUGCAAACAUGUCGGCGUUUGCACGAAUUCUGCCGGCUCAAAGCUGCCCGCGUGGCGCUUGGGCUCUGGAGCCUCUGCGGCCAGGGCUUCGAGCUUCGAGGCGAGCUCGGUGGAGUUCUCGACAGCUUCCCCAUAUUCGACGCAUUCGACGUCACACUCGUACGCGUGCUCGUAGGAGGAGCUGACGGUGAUGACGCCCUUGGGUCCGGGCAUUUUCAGCUUCAAGUAGGUGUAGUUGGGGAUAGCCAUAAACUUGGCGUAACCCGGGCGCCCGAUGAUGGUUUGGUACGUGCCUCGGAAUCCCACUACAUCAAAGGUGAGGGUCUCCUUUCUGAAAUUGGCCGCCAUGCCAAAGCGGACCGGCAGGUCGAUUCGGCCUACCGGCAACGCCUUCUUUCCAGGUACGACACCAUGGAAGCCACCGACGCUUGGUUGGAGCUACGCCCUGUUGAUGCCGAGAAGGUCGAGAGUCUCGAGGUAGAUGAUGUUCAGGCUGCUGCCACCAUCCAUCAACACCUUCGAGAGUCUGGUGUUGACGAUGAUGGGGUCGGCGACGAGCGGGUAGACGCUAGGGGCAAUUACCUUGUCGGGGUGGUCGUCUCGAUCGAAGGUGAUGGGGGUGCUUGACCAGCUGAGGUAUUAGGGCACUACCAUCCUUGCCGCAAAGACCUCGCAGCGCUCCCUCUUGCGCUGCCUUGCGGUUAGCUGUGUUGAGGGUCCACCGUAGAUCAUGUAGCAGUCGUGGAUGGCUGGGAAACCUCCGUCAUCUUUGUCGUCCCCCUUGUCGCCGUUCUUCUCUUUCUUCAGGUCGUCACGGGCGUCCUUCUUGAACCCUAGGCCGUCAAAGUGCUUCUUCAGCAUACGGCAGUCCUCGAGCUUGUGGUUUGCCCCUCCCUUAUGGUAAGGGCACGGCUCCUUUAGCAUCUUGUCGAAGAUAGCCCCCUCUAUGGGUCCUCGAGGCCUUUUGCGCUCCAUGGCGGCGACGAGAUCGUCGUCGACGUCCUCCUGCUGGAACGGCCAUGUUUUCUUCUUCUUUUUGUUCUUUUUGGGCCCUCGACUGGGGCCCUCAUCAUCAUCGGUGGACGGCUUGCCUUUCCUUCCUUCGCAGCUGAAGAAGGCGCCGACCACUUCUUCCCCUGCAGCGGUAGUUUGCCACUACGUCCAUCAGCUCGUCGACGGUCUGAGGGCGAUUCCGGCCUAAUUCCCACACCAAGUCUCGACUGGUGGUGCCAGAGACAAAGGCCAGGAUGACGUCGUGAUCGGGGAUGUGUGGCAGCUCGGUGCGCUGCUUCGAGAAGUGCCGAGCAUACUCUCAGAGAGUUUCUCCUGACUUCUGCUUGCACUUGCUGAGGUCCCACGAGUUGCCGGGCUGUAUGUAGGUUACUUUGAAGUUACCCUCGAACACCCUGACCAAAUCGACCCAAUCGUGGAUCUGGUUGGCCAGGAGCUCCUCGAGCCAUCUGCGGGCGGUGUCGGAGAGGAAAAGUGGUAGCUGUCAGAUGAUGGCUCGAUUGUCCCCUCGAGCGCCUCCUAGCUGAGAGGCGAGCCUGAAGUCUGCCAACCACAGCUCUGGCUUGGUCUCGCCGUUGUAUUUUGCGAUGCUGGUCGGGGGUCGAAACGGGCUGGGCAGUGGCGUGUUGCGGAUUGCCCUGCUGAACACCGGAGGACCCGGCGGUUCUGGGGCCAUCCGGUCCUCGUCGCUGUCGUAUCUCCCACCGCAGGGGGCACUGUAACCGCGCUCUUCCGCAUCUCCAUAUCGACGGUGACAAUUCUCGUCAAUGUCGCGUCGCGCGUCGUGUCGUCGUUGGUUGUCGACGGGGUGGUGAAGGACGAGUGCUGUCUUUUUCCCUCGAGGGGGCGGCUGCUGAUGGACCGACACUUCCUUUUCGUUCUAGGCCGGCUCAUCACGCUUUUCUGUGGCCGCUCCUCGACGUCGAGAGGCCGAGCUCUCGGCCUGCUGAACUGCCGCCACCUAGAGCAGAGUCUGCACCUCGUCUCGAAUGCGUCGCGCUUGGGAGUUCGACAGUUCGGGCAUAUUACGCAGCAGCAUUGUCGCCGCCAUGACGUUCUGGCCCGCUCGAGGGAAACGGCUGACGGGCUGCUCAGGCUCUCCGUCUCCGACGAUCUGCCGAUGUACCUCUCGAGCCCGUCUGUGGACACUUCCGCCAGGCGGGCAAGGCUGGUCUUGCUCGAGGAUCUGUUCAAGCAGAACAAGGCGCACGCGAUCCUCGUCGAGCUUCGCUUUGAGCUCUCGUAGCUGCGCAAGUUGCGCGGCUCUAUCUUCUUGUGGAGGGGGGUCGACCUGUCCGUCGUUCCCAGGCGUCCUAGGGUCUUCCCUUGCUGCAGGAGCUCGACCACCGACAACGGCGUCUUGUGUCUCGUCUGUAGUUUCUACCGCCCCGUCGAUAUGGAAGCAUUCCCUAGUAGGUUCGUGGCUGUCGGACUCAGAGUCGGAGUCCGGCUCGGCGGCGUAGAAACAUCCACGUCCCUCCUCUAGCAGCCGCUUCCUGAGUGAGGUGAUCGUGUAUCGCCCAAGCCCUAGGCGUCUUAGGCCUCAUACCUGAGAGAAAUCCAGUAGCUCGGACGUCUGUUGCCAUGCUCCAGUGUCACGUGGGAGGACCAUUGGUCUCUCCACGUACGUUUGGGCGUUCGGACAAAUCGCCCUGGCGAGCGAUGCCGCGGCGUUGUCCAGGCCGAACGGCAACGCUCUUCUUGGGGCGAAUAGCCCGUGUGGAAGUAGCGUUGCGGCGGGCGAGAGCGCGCAGGGCGCGCCAUCUCCCAUCGUCGUUGUGCGAUCCUCGUGGCGUUGGGCCGUCGUACCCGCGGUUUCGGCGUGCGGGGCUGUCGGCUCUUGUGUCACCUCCUGCCUGGCACGAACUGUCGGUCGUGAAGAGGCAGAGGGGUGAUGGUGGCGCUGUCCACGCCUCUUCUUGGGCGGGGAGGCGUGGUGGUGACGACGUCUCAGAGCCCUCAAUCGUGCUGGUGCAACGCGAGCUCCUCCCGGUCCUUUGACCGAGAGCAGGAUCAUGUCGUGGCCAAAACUAGUAGACAUGAACUCGAGGCUCCUAAACCAAAUCACCGUGGAGCGUGGAAUCGGCGAAACGAGAGUGGCCAUCUGGAAAGGAAUGGGAAAUCGGUGAAAAACAUGCAGGACCCCUACCUGGCGCGCCAACUGUCGGUGUUUUCCCCCCGGGGGGUCACACCAACGAGUGAAACUUGUAUGUGUGCUCCCCUUUCCAGAUGGUGAUGCAAGAAAAGACACAAAGAUUUAUCCUGGUUCGGGCAAGAGAAGGCCCUAUGUCCAGCGGGGGAGGAGAGUUUGUAUAAUCUUGCACCUAAGUGCUUGUACAGGGGUGAAUACAGGCGUGAUAUGAACUGAGAUGGAGUGAGGUUGCUCUACUACGUAUGUCUUGUGUUGUGUCGCGUGUCCUAUAUCUGCUCUCGGGCCUCCCCUUUUAUAGUUCCAAGGAGAGGUCUAGGGUACAUGUAUAGGCGACAGAGUAGGGGUCGAUAGAGGUAUGGCGUGCUGACCUACUCGAGGCCUCCGNNNNNNNNNNNNNNNNNNNNNNNNNNNNNNNNNNNNNNNNNNNNNNNNNNNNNNNNNNNNNNNNNNNNNNNNNNNNNNNNNNNNNNNNNNNNNNNNNNNNNNNNNNNNNNNNNNNNNNNNNNNNNNNNNNNNNNNNNNNNNNNNNNNNNNNNNNNNUGACAUCUAUAGAUGAUCUUCCAUCAUUACUCAGUGGUGCCCUUAUCUUGAGUAAGCCAUUAGUGCAUAAUCGGAAGAGGUAUGGCUCAUCCCAUAUAUGUGAAGGACUUUCUGGAAUAAGCUUCUUCAUGUAUGCUCUGUGCGGUACAUACCCUGAAACCAUAAAAUUAACGAUAUUUGCAUCACAGGGUUUAGACCUGUUAAUCCCGUAGAGCAUGUCGUACCGGCGUCAAUCAUUGAUCGGGUUCUCCAGCGGAUUCUUAAAAUACAUUGUAGACAGGUGAUAUGCAGCAGAAUUUUGGACUCUGGUGUGAUACUUUAUUUAUAAUUCAAAGAAUUGGGCAAAUGCGGUCGUUUGCUUCAGUGGGCGUGUAGCGUUCUCACUUAACCCCCCAGUCAUGGGAAGCGUGAUAGGGAACAAGCAUCCGUCCUGUCGUUCUUUUUGCAGCCUUCCCCACCAAACAAGCCAGAACGUGGCAGGACCCAGGGAGUGGGUCGGAACGUCCAAUCAAGAAACCCCUCGAGAUGCCCAAGGUCAGCGCUCUGGCCAGCGAGGCGUUACACGACACCUAACCCUUGAGUAGGCGUGUUUCCUUCCUAGGGAAGGGUCGGACGAUGAAUGACAGCACCUCAACCACUCCGACGUAGCUGUUACCACGACGUACAAGCGUGUGCAACAGAUAAACCAGUCUAGGACGGUGCAUAGGAGCGGAAUUCAGGGGCACGCGUAAUCAUCAUCAGAGUACAAGACAAGACGGCUCGAGGCCACGCCGGUACGGAGGCCUCGAGUAGGUCAGCACGCCAUACCUCUAUCGACCCCUACUCUGUCGCCUAUACAUGUACCCUAGACCUCUCCUUGGAACUAUAAAAGGGGUGGCCCAGGAGCGGAUACCGGACACGCGACACAACAUAAGACAUACGUAGUAGAGCAACCUUACUCCAUCUCAGUUCAUACCACGCCUGUAUUCACCCCUGUACAAGCACUUAGGUGCAAGAUAAUACAAACUCUCCUCCCCCGCUGGACGUAGGGCCUUCUCUUGCCCGAACCAGGAUAAAUAUUUGUGUCUUUUCUUGCAUCACCAUCUCGAAAGGGGAGCACGCAUACAAGUUUCACUCGUUGGUGUAACCCCCCGGGGGGAAAACACCGACAGUUAGGGUCAGUAAAAUAGCGGCGUACCUUCUCUGAGGGGAAGUGCAUAUGGACUUCUCCAGUUCCAAUGUAGAUGAUUGCUUUAACGGUGCUGAGGAACGGUCUUCCAAGGAUGAUGGGUGGAUCAUAUUCGUCUUCUCCCAUGUCAAUAACCUGAAAGUCUGUGUAGACAAAAUGAUCGUCUAUUUUGACUCGGACAUCAGUUACUGUUCCUUUAACCUCUUGAAUUGUCUGAUCUGCCAUCUGGAGCUGAAUGUAUGUUGGUUUUAGGGGCAUGGUUCUGAACAAGAGCCGAUAGGUGACUGCGGCCAUUAUGUUGACGCCCGAUCCGGUGUCGCAAAACGUCUUGUAGAAGUUCUAUCCAUUUAUAGAGCAAUAGAUGCUUGGCAUUCAUGGGUCAUCCUUCUUGGUCAGAAAUGGUGACUUAAGUUGAUGAUCUUGACCUCGUUGAACUGCAGUGACCAUCUUAGCUGACUUGGUCCACACUUGCUUGUUCUUGUUCCUCCUGUUGGUCCUCUUCCUUGGUUCAUUGUGUAGUCUUGUUCUUGAAGGAAAACGUCUCCUUUCUCCCAUUCAUGUAGAAACUGAUCUUGGCAGCACUAGCGUAGAUGACAGCUCCCGAGGUGUUUAAAAAUGGCCUCCCUAGGAUGAUGGGUGCCCUCUCAUCAUUACCUGUCUCUAUCACGACGAAGUCUGCUGGGGCAUACAAGGUACCAACUCGGACACAUAGGUUCUUCAAUAUUCCCUUUGGAAAACUUAACGCCUGAUCUACAAACUACAAACACAUGGUUGUUUCUAGUAAAGGAUAUGUAAAGAUUUUUUCAUAGAGUACCCUGGGCAUAAUGUUGACACUAGCGUCAAAGUCCCAGAGUGCUUCUGGGAAGUCCACCAUGCCGAUGGAGAUCGGGAUGACCGGGCAUCCUGGAUCGCUUCUCUUGACCGACAGAAGGUCAGUAGUAACUUCAGUGACGGGGUUACUCCAGCAUUUACCUGCAUCAAACAUGUCUACAAGAUUUUGCAGAUUCUAAUCCUUCCGGUUGUGAUGGUAUACCGAGGUUAGUAGCAGGAACAGCAAUAGCUAUUUGAUUUAACUGAGAUUCAAUCAUUUUAUUAAAGCUAAUUUGAUUUUUGAUGGCAGUAGAGAAAUUAUCCAUUCUAUUAUUUAUAUUUUCUAGCAUUUUAUCAUUAGAUGCCAAUUUCUUAGAUAGAUUAUCCAUUAGCUUUCCUUGAUUAGACACUAGCUCUCUCAGAGGUGGAAAAUUAUUAUUAUUAUUGUAAGAAUUGUUACCUUGAUAAUUACCUGAGUAGUUAGGCCUCUGUUGAUUCCAACCUUAAUUUUGUUGAGGACGGUUGUAGUAGUAGUAGUUGUUGUUGUUGAUGUAGUUCACAUCCUCAAGCUCUCAGGGCAGUGGUUGCCUGAGUGUCCAGUAUCUCUACACUCCUCACAAGUCAUGUGUGAGUCGUAGAUGUCCAUAACUUCCUUCUUAUUUCCAACUUUAUCAUCGAGCUUCUUCAUGAGUAGGUCUAGCUUUGCAGAUAGCAUGUCUACCUCCUGGAGCUGAUGCAUACCUACACCUUUCUUGCGUGUCUGGGUCCUUUCUUCAUUCCAGCCUUGGUUGGACGCCAUCUUCUCCACAAGAGCUGUGCCUUGUGGUAUGGUGAGUGAUAAGAAUGCUCCUGCAGCAUCCAUGAUAAAACGUCUGCAUUAGUAACCAACUCACCAUUCCAUGAUGGGGACAUUCUAGGAUGUAAUCUUGGAAGCGCUCCCAUGCUUCUGGAAUAGAUUCAUCAUGUUGUUGCUGAAAACUUGUAAUCUUCCCACAAAGAGCAUUGGUCUUGCCCAUGAGAAAGAACUUAGCUAGAAAGUUCGUGGAGUAGAGUGCCCACGUAGUAUUCUUCUCCUUUGUAGCGUAGAACCACUGCUUCGCUCUUCCUAACAGUGAGAAUGGGAAGAGGCGAAGUAGUAUAGCAUCUCUGGGGACUCAUGAUGUGGGGAAUGUGCUGCAAAUCUCCAAAAAGUGUUGGAGAUGAGCACUAGCAUCUUCAUGUGCCUUCCCACAGAACUGGUUGGAUUGCACCAUGUUGAUAAGUCCAGGCUUGAGCUCAAAGUUGCCAUCGAUCUCUGCAGCAGGUCCAGUACGGAUGUUGUCCGUAGUGGGAGCUGAGAACUCGCGGAUUGAUUUGUUCACCAUGGCUUCGAAUUCUGAAGACAAGUUCCUGUGAUCUUCUUGAUUGGAUGAAGCUUCUUGCUAAAGUGUUGAUGAUCUCUUGUUGAGCUUGGCUCUUGUUUUUUUGAAUAAUGCUUCGGGAUUGUCAACAAAAUUUCCUGGAAGAUGUCUUCUAUUCAUACAUUACCCUGCAUAAGAUAAAAUAGAAAAAUAUCAGGGUAAAACUGUAUGAAAGAAUUGAUAAGCUCAAUCAUAUUAGUGAUGCGAAUGAUAACUCAAAAUCCUAUAUCCAUUCCUGAUUAGUAAUCAACCUUCCCCGGCAACGGCGCCAAAAAUGCUUGUUGGGUAUUCUUAACAUCACUACCAAAAGUAGACUUAAUUUUCUAAUUCUGAUAACGAUGCCAAAAAUGCCAAACCUGUCCCUCAUACCACUUAAGCCAAGUUGUCAUCCCCAGCAUGACAUGAUAGACGCGGUAUUGAAAUAUGCAAUUGCUCAUCUAAAAUAAAUAAUGAAUGGGAUCUGCAAGCGCACAGAUUAAUACCGAUGUAGCAUUUUAACCGGGAAGUAUUCCAGGUAUCGUUAUUUAUAUUUUUACCACUGGGAAGGGAUUAGUAAUCAUCAAUGUUGAUUAUAGAAUAGAAUAUGAGAUGGAGUAUCUAUCAUUGCAUGUAUAAUUGAGAACAUUUGUCUAAUUCUUUCAUACAGGGAUAAGUGUCACAUAAAGGAUGUAUAAAGUAAUGAAUAGUGACAAAGAUAAUUAUUCUGAUCAGCAUAACUUAGCCACAUAUAAAUAUGACAAGCACCUCAAUUAGAUAUUCUAGAAAGUCAUUAGCAUGGUAUUAGAACGAACUACAAGAAUAUUUACUAAGUUAUUCUUAACUAUACAGUCUAGCAUUAUCAUAGUUAGUGGAAGCAUACUUAGCAAUCAUUGCGAGACAGGACUACGCCCAUGCAUAGUGAUAUUAUCAAGGUAAAUGAGAAACAUAGCAAUUACUCCCCUGUAAUAAUAUUGCUCUGCCAGCCCAAUACACGAGAGGAGGACUAUAUAAGAAUCAAUGAAGUUGUCACUAUCACGAACUACCCCACGAUCUGGCAUAUUGGGUACAAUCGCAGAUAAAUACGGUAUAAGCACCAUGCCAACACAAUAUCUAUCAUUUACCCAUGGAUCCGAUGGAUAAACGCUAUACGAUCCUAAACAUAUAUAUAAAUCCAAUCUAACUAAGCCAAGUAUAUAACUAUGAUAAACUAAGAACAAUAUAAUCUUGAAUAUAAACAAGUAGAGCAAAGUCAUAAGCAGUAUAUUGAAGUAGAACAAAAUCAUUUUCAUAAUAUUGAAGAACAAAGAUGAACAAUUAGAAGAACAAUUAGAGAAUUACCAAGAAUCCUCUUGACAGAUCCGGAAACCAAUCGAAGAUUGACUCCUUCUAGUUCUAAUCCUAUGUAGCUAUGCUAAUCUAGAUGUCUAAUUGAUGUGGUGGCUCUAGGCUUGAUCAGAGGCUUCUUCUCCCUUGAGAAUAAUGAAUUAGGGUUGAGAGGCUCUCUCCUCCAGGGGCCAGGGGGUCUGAUUUUAUAGUCCCUCCAAGUGAAUAUGGGCCAUCGGAUCAAACCGACAUUGAUUGAACGGUUAUCCUUGAUCCUUUAGGUCGGUGGAGCUUGAUCCCGAAAGAGUGUCCUGAUUGGACUCCAACAGGGGGCGAGUGCCCUGGUCUCCUAGGCGGGCGCCCAGGGUAAGGCUCCGUUUGGCCUCCGCUUCCUUCCCGUGGCUUCUGGAGUCUUCUAGAUGUAAGAUAAUUGCGCGGCACGUUGAUAUCUCUAUGUAAUCCCGACUUGUGGGCCUUUCUUCCGUAUUUCCUGAUAACCAGAAAUAGACAAACACCAAAAACUCGUGGAAUUCUGUCAAAUAAAACCCUAAGUCUAAAUGUUGAUUUCAUUUGGAUCCUUUUCUUUGUUUAUUUGAUAAUUAAAUUUGAUACUUAAGGACCGUCAACAACAGUCAUACUACAAAAGAUCCUCAUAGGUGAACUUCCAACUACACACUACACUCCAGGCUCGUCGUCCGAGUCAGCGUCGAAGAUCGCCUCUCCAUCCUCGUCGCUAACCGGCUCAAGCUCCUCGUCCUCCACGUCCUCGUGCAAAGGUGGUGCAGCCGCGGCCGGUCUAUCUACCUCCAUAACAUCAUCAUCGGCCACGAUCACCUGAGAUCCCACCUCUGGAUACACAGGUACAGGGCGAGGAAUAGGGUGUAGCAAGUUGUUGAGACGGUGAAUCUCCACAAGACUAGCAUCUAUCUGAUCCUGCAGAUAGUUCUCCCGCUCAAGUGACUGGAUCCAGUGCAUCUCCCAUGCCCGGCGCCUGUUCUACGACACACGAGUGAUCUGCACCAAGCGCUCCUGCACGGUCUCCUUCUCUCUAGCCAACUGACUCAUCUGAUCCUGCUUGUGAUCUCUCUCUCUUAUGGCCUUCACCCACUGUUGCCUACGGUACUCCGCAAUGUCUUCCCAGUCAUUGCGGUCCUUCUAGGCUUGCCUUAGGAGUUUAGCUUGCUUGCGAAACUUGCGAGCACACUUUUCAGCCUUCUGUUGCAUCUCCUGAGCCUGGCGAACAGCCGCCAUCACCUGUGCAUAGGUGUCCUCUCGCUGGCUGAAUAGCUUGAGCACAGCCAUCAUAGCACUUAUAGCAGGACUGGAGCUCUCAGCUCGCUCCCCUCGGCCUCGUACCAACGCACAUCCAUCAGCCUGCUUCCACUCCGCUGUUGCUGGGUCAGCAUGUGGAAUGGAGGCCGGUGGCCCUCCUAUCAGCUCGUCACCAAACCUCUGAUAGAUUUUGAGCAAGAUAGCAUGGGCUGCAACCUGAGCUGCUUCCCAUGGAGUCUGCCCAUCUGAAUUGCAGGUCCAACCAGUCCAUGCAGGCCUGCCCCCAUGUGGUGGGACAACUCCCUACACAGCGAACCACUGCAAGUCUCGUAUCAUAUCCACCUCCCACCAAGAAUACUGAGGUGAAUCAGUAUACCCCACUGACUGCAGCACCCUCCACAACAAAGUAGGAGUGCCAAACUCGCUCAGAAAGGUGUCACUAGGGAGAGGUGAAGCGGGCUCGUUCAUCUGUGGAAAGGAAUAACCAUGGGUAAGAGAGAAUUAAUUUUAAGCAACAUUUAUUUAAAUAAAAGGGAUGAUAUUGUAAGGGAAGAAGUAGGCAGAAUGUAUGUAUGAAUGCGACAUGAUGCAUGCACGAGCCGUACGUCCUCAUAAACUUAGAAAAUUAAUAUUCUAACGGAUAUACGGUGGCAUACAUUCAUCUCUCGGUACGAUAACUAUCGUUUUAAACAUGCGCUGUUAGAGUACCUGUAGAAAACUUCAUUGCAACCCAACAGUUCCCAAUAUCUCACUCAAGAAAGCAGUAAACUAAGUGCACAUUGCUUAUACAUACCCAACAUGCACAAACAAUGACACCACAGCUACCCGAGAAAUUAAAUGCUCCCCAAUUAAGUUUCUUUCGUGUUUCCAUGGUUUGACAUGUAACUGCUCCAGAAAACCACCGCGAAUACUCCCCUAGACCGCCGUUUGGAUGAUCAUGCUCUCACAGCUCACACUUACCAGAGCGUAGGUGCGACGUUGCAUAAUUUAAAUCUAGCGACACAUGUGGCUAGUACACAUAUGAAGGCUACCUCUACCAUUAGACCACAGGGUAGCACAGUGCGGUCAUCACACAUCCAUACCUGAGUACUACCGGAGAUGCAUAAAUAAAAACCCCCAAGUCAGUACUUAAAUAGCCACGUAGAGUCCUUAUAUGGGCAAGGAGGAUUCGACCACUGGCAUAACUUACGUAUUGAUUUUCACAAUUUAUUUAAAAAACUCAUUUGCUUUUAAAUACACAAACGCUGCAUUUAUAAUGUUGAACUUGCUCUGAUGCCAGCUGUCACAGAACCGACCAAAUUAUAAGAUUUCAAGUGUAGAAAUGAUCAACUAGCAAUCAAGUUUCCAUACUUGAGCCCAUAUAAUCCCGGUAGUCAAGUGAAAUCACGAAGGACUUCAAACCAACUUGCAACAAACCAAGAUCGUAAUAGUUCAACAUAAUAUAGCGAAUGUUACAUAGUCAUUCAUUGCCGUCAAUGCGGCACCACAUCGGAGCUACUUAGUUAUUACAACACAAGUUUGCAGUAGCGGAAGCAAAAUAGUUUACAACACACAUUCCAAAGUUCUUGUUAUUGCCAGAGUCUCAUGCCAUCCAUCAAAAGCAACAGGUACGAAGUAGUUAGAGAACCGUGCCCGACGGUUUAGUCCUCAUCCCUAGCGGGAUGGAGACAGGUCUUGCAGAAGCCAUCAUAAAAGAUAUCAUCUGCAACAGGUGGGAAUAAACCCUGAGUACGAGGAUGUACUCAGCUAGACUUACCCGUCUAGUAAAUCAUAAAAAGACAUCAAGGAUCAUGCAAGGCUAAGUAUAACGUGUAGCUAGCUUGACUCAACAUUUGCCAAAAGCCUAAGUGAUUAUUGUUGACGGUCCUUAAGUACCAAAUAUUAUCAUCAAAUAAAUAAAGAAAAGGAUCCCAAUACAACCAACACCCAAACUUAGGGUUUUAUCUGACAGAAUUCCACGAGUUUUGGUGUUUGUCUAUUUCUGCAUGGGGUUAUCAGGAAAUAUGGAGAAAAGACCCACAUGUCGGGUUUACAUAGAGAUAUUAACGUGCCGCGCAAUUUUCUAUCAUCUAGAUGACUCCAGAAGCCACGGGAACAAACGGGAAGGCGAUCGGGCCCGGGGGCACGGCGUCCGCCCUCCCCCCUAGGGCGCCCGCCCUGAGUUAAAGUCCAAUCAGGACCCGUCUCGCGGAUUACGCUCCACCAACCUAAAGGAUCAAGGAUAACCAUUCAAUCAAUGUCGGUUUGAUCCGACUGCCCAAAUUCACUUGCGGGGACUAUAUAAGCAGACCCCCUGGCCCCUGGAGGAGAACAAGUUCAUUGUAGAGUUGAGAGGUGCCCUCGAAGGAUAACCUUUCCUCUACAUGGACAGGGCAAAAGCUAGGGUUUGGAGAUGAGAGCUCUCCUCUCAUCUCUAAACUAGAGUAGAUCUAGAUAGUAGCGAGAUGGAGAGCAGGGGAGGAUUGGAGGAGAGGCUGGCCUGUCGGUUCUUCCUCCGGUUGUACUUCGCCAUGAUCAAGCUCUAAUCAAGCUUGCUCAUGGGAUGACUCUGGUAAUCUACUUCUAUUUCAUUAUGCAAUUACUAUUCAUGUAUGUUCUGGUUCACAACUCUUUUGAGUACCUUUAAUCUAUAGGACCCUAUAGGUUAGAGUUGUAGUAUAGGUGUAAGCGUGGUGCUUAGACCUAGAUUACUUGUGGAUAUCCCCUGUCUAGCUGGAUCGUGUGGUAGGCCACGUAGGUGACAGUUACGUUGGUCCCCUGUAGUCCACCUCCUAUUAGCAAGACGGGUAGGGUUUAUCGGCCUAUGGAUAAGCAUCCUUUGUGGUGUAUUCUUAUCAUGUGGUUCGUCCCAGACAUAGACAUACCCCUUUGAAGUAGAGAAACCAUAGUUAUCCUCUCUAUUCUCCUACCAUCGCCCAUAUACUAGAUUGCUCUACUCUCUAUUCCCAUAUUAUCACCCAUUGCUAUCUUACCUUUAAUAUUUUUCUUAUUCAAUUCUACCAUCUUUCCUAUUUACACUUACCUAUCUAUCUAGGUUAAGUUAGAGCAUAGAUCAGUUCUCCCGUUUCCCUGUGGAUACGAUAAAACCUUUAACCGGGUAAAACCUACAACGGUAUCCGUGCGCUUGCGGAUUUAUCUGUGCGUAUAAAUACCAUAGUACACUCUAGUGCCAUGCUGGGGAUGAUAACCUAGUAUUCAAGUGGUGUUAGCAAGUGUCAACAAUUACUAUACCAUUUGUAAAGGCACCAUAUUAAUCUUUAUUAGCCUAUCACUAGAUUAGCACCUGGACUAAAACACUUCACUUGAUUAUUACAAACAAUAAUAACCAUAUCAAGUUCAUCAUAUGUUCUUCCUUGCUAUCAUCAACAUUAUCUUUAAGAACCAUUGUACUUAGUGAAUGCUACGUUUGCCACUGCUCUGUCAAGUUCUCACUAUCCGGGAGAGACGGCGAUUCGAAUCGAUUCCUAUCCAGCUGGAGGGUUAUUCCUAGCACUCACCCAAGCAUCUCCCAUCAGAGAGCAAACGGGUCACCUUUGGUACGACUCAGGAAUCAUGGCUCCGAUCAGCGCCGCACUCCCAUGGCUACCACUUUGCCAGGGAGGUCAGGACUUUUAACUCACCUGCCUUUUGGUCUUACGUCAAUGGUCCCCCGCACACCGUACUUCCUCCGGUAGCGCGCACUUUAUACUUGCCGGUCUUCCGGCCUGAGUCAUACUACUAGGCUUCGCGGUCAGAACGAGUUAUCCGGCCAACGAAGUGUCAGGCAUGCAUUUGUUGACGGUCCAUAAGUAUUAAAUUUAAUAAUCAAAUAAACAAAGAAAAGGAUCCAAAUGAAAUCAACAUCUAGACUUAGGGUUUUAUCUGACAGAAUUCCAUGAGUUUUGGUGUUUGUCUAUUUCUGCAGGGGGUUAUCAGGAAAUAAGGAAGAAAGGCCCACACGUCGGGUUUACAUAGAGAUAUUAACGUACCGCGCAAUUAUCUUACAUCUAGAAGACUCCAGAAGCCACGAGAACGAAGCGGAGGCAGAACGGGGCCUGGCCCAGGGCGCCUGCCCUAUAGACCAGGGCGCCCACCCCAUUUGGAGUCCAAUCAGAGUCCUUUUCGUGGAUCAUGCUCCACCGACCUAAAGGAUCAAGGAUAACCGUUCAAUCAAUGUCGGUUUGAUCCGAUGGCCCAUAUUCACUUGGAAGGUCUAUAUAACCAGACCCCCUGGCCCCUAGAGGAGAGCACCUCUCAGCCCUAAUUCAUUAUUCAUCAGGGAGAAGAAGCCUCUGAUCAAGCCUAGAGCCGCCACAUCAAUUGAUAUCUAGAUUAGCAUAGCUACAUAGGAUUAGAACUAGAAGGAGUCAAUCUUCGAUUGGUUUUCGGACCUGUCAAGAGGAUUCUUGGUAAUUCUAUAUUGUUCUUCAAUUGUUCAUCUUUGUUCUUCGAUAUUAUGAAUAUGACUUUGUUCUACUUCAAUAUAUUGAUUAUGACUUUGCUCUACUUGUUUAUAUUCGCAAUUAUAUUGUUCUUAGUUUAUCAUAGUUAUAUACUUGGCUUAGUUAGAUUGGAAUUAUGUACAUGUUUAGGACCAUAUAGCGUUUAUCCAUCGGAUCCAUGGGUAAAUGAUAGAUAUUGUGUAGGCGUGGUGCUUAUACCGUAUUUAUCUGCGAUUGUGCCCUAUAUGCCAGAUCGUGGGGUAGUUCGUUGUAGUGACAGCUCCAUUGAUUCUUAUAUAGUCCCCCUCUCGUGUAUUGGGCUGGCAGAGCAACAUUAUUACCGGGGAGUGAUUGCGAUGUUUCUCAUAUUCCUUGAUAAUAUCACUAUGCAUGGGCGUAGUCCUAUCUCACAAUGAUUGCUAAGUAUAAUUACACUAACUAUGAUAUGCUAGACUGUAUAGUUAAGAAUAACUUAGGAAAUAUUCUUAUAGUUCAUCCUAAUUCCAUGCUAAUGACUAGCUAGAAUAUCUAAUUGAAGUGCUUAUCAUAUUUAUAUAUGGCUAAGUUAUGCUGAUCAGAUUAAUUAUCUUUGUCACUGUUCAUUACUUUGUAUAUAUCUUUUAUGUGACACUUAACCCUGUAUGAAAGAGAUAGAUAGAUAGAUGCUUUCAAUUAUACAUGCAAUGAUAGAUACUCAAUUCUAUAUUUCAUUCUAUAAUCAACAUUGAUGAUUACUAAUCCCAUUCCCAGUGGUAAAAAUAUAAAUAACGAUACCUAGAAUACUUCCCGGUUAAAAUGAUACAUCGGUAUUAAUCUGUGCGCUUGCAGAUCCCAUUUAUUAUUUAUUUAGAUGAGCAAUUGCAUAUUUCAAUACCGCGUCUCUUAUGUCAUGCUAGGGAUGAUAACUUGGCUUAAGUGGCAUGAGGGAUAGGUUUGGCAUUUUUGGCGCCGUUAUCAGAAUUAGAAAAACUAAGUCUACUUUUGGUAGUGACGUUAAGAAUGCCCAACAAGCAUUUUUGGCGCCGUUGCUGGGGAAGGUUGAGUACUAAUCAGGAAUGAAUAUAGAAUUUUGAGUCAUCGUUUGCAUCACUAAUAUGAUUGAGCUUAUCAAUUCUCUCAUACAGUUUUACACCGAUAUUUUUCUAUUUUAUCUUAUGAAGGGUAAUGUAUGAAUAGAAGACAUCUUCUAGGAAAUUUUGUUGACAAUCCCAAAGCGUUAUUCAGAAAAACAAAAGCCAAGCUCAAGAAGAUAUCAUCAAUACUUCAGCACGAAGCUUCAUCCAAUCAAGAAGAUCACCGAAGUUUCACCCGGAACUUGUCUUCAGAGUUCGAAGUCAUGGCAAACAAAUCGAUCCGUGAGUUCUCAGCUCCCACUACGGACAACAUCCGCACUGGACCUGCUGCAGAGAUCGAUGGCAACUUUGAGCUUAAGCCUGGACUUAUCAACAUGGUGCAAUCUAACCAGUUCUGUGGAAAGCACAUGAAGAUGCUAGUGCUCAUCUCCAACACUUCCUGGAGAUUUGCACCACAUUUACCAUAUCAGUAGUCCCCAAAGAUGCUAUACUACUUCGCCUCUUCCCAUUCUCAUUGUUAGGGAGAGCGAAGCAGUGGUUCUACACUACAAAGGAGAAGAAUACUACGUGGGCACUCUGCUCCAUGAACUUUCUAGCUAAGUUCUUUCCCAUGGGCAAGAUCAAUGCUCUCCAUGGGAAAAUUACAAGUUUUCAGCAACAACAUGAUGAAUCUGUUCCAGAAGCAUCGGAGCACUUCCAAGACUACAUACUAGAAUAUCCCCUUCAUGGAAUGGAGAGCUGGCUACUGAUGCAGACGUUUUAUCAUGGGCUCGGCAACAGUGUCCAAGAAACCAUGGAUGCUGCAGCUGGAGGAGCAUUCCUAUCACUCACCAUAUCACAAGCCACAACUCUUGUGGAGAAGAUGGCGUCCAACCAAAGUUGGAAUGAAGAAAGGACCCAAACACGCAAGAAAGGUGGAGGUAUGCAUUAGCUCAAGGAGGUAGACAUGCUGUCUGCUAAGCUAGACCUGCUCAUGAAGAAGCUCGAAGAUAGAGCUGGAGAUAAGAAAGGAGUUAUGCACAUCUACGACUCUCACAUGACUUGUGAGGAGUGUGGAGAUACUCAACACUCAGGCAAUCACUGCCCUGAGAUGCUUGAGGAUGUGAACUACAUCAUCAUCAACAACAACUACUACUACAACCGUCCUCAACAAAGUCAAGGUUGGAAUCAACAAAGGCCUAACUACUCAGGUAAUUUACAAGGUAACAAUUAUUACAACAAUAAUAAUAAUUUUCCACCUCUAAGAGAGUUAUUGUCUAAUCAAGAAAAGCUAAUGGAUAACCUAUCUAAGAAAUUGGCAUCUAAUGAUAAAAUGCUAGAAAAUAUAAAUAAUAGAAUGGAUAAUUUCUCUACUGCCAUCAAGAAUCAAAUUAGCUUUAAUAAAAUGAUUGAAUCUCAGUUAAAUCAAAUAGCUGCUGCUAUUCCUUCUACUAACCCCGGUAUACCAUCACAACCGGAAGGAUUAGAAUCUGCAAAUCUUGUAGACAUGUUUGAUGCAGGUAACUACUGGAGUAACCCCGUCAGUGAAGUUACUACUGACCUUCUGCCGGUCAAGAGAAGCGAUCCAGGACGCCCCGUCAUCCCGAUCUCCAUCGACAUGGUGGACUUCCUAGAAGCACUCUACGACUUUGGCUCCAGCGUCAACAUUAUGCCUAGGGUACUCUAUGAAAAAAUCUUUACAUAUCCUUUAUUAGAAACAACCAUGUGUUUGCAGUUUGCAGAUCAGGCAUUAAGUUUCCCAAAGGGAAUAUUGAAGAACCUCUGUGUCCGAGUUCGUACCUUGUACGCCCCAGCAGACUUCGUGGUGAUAGAGACCAGUAAGGAUGAGAGGGCACCCAUCAUCUUAGAGAGGCCAUUCUUGAACACCUCGGGAGCUGUCAUCUAUGCUAGUGCUGCCAAGAUCAGUUUCUACAUCAAAGGGAUGAAGGAGACGUUUUCCUUCAAGAACAAGACUACACAAAUCCCAAAGCAAUCUCGACAUGAACCAAGGAAAAGGCCCAAUAGGAGGAACAGGAACAAGCAAGUGUGGACCGAGUCAGCUAAGAUGGUCACGGCAGUUCAUGAAGGACAAGAUCAUCGACUUAAGUCAUCGUUUCUGACCAAGAAGGGUGACCCAGGAAUGCCAAGCAUCUAUUGCUCCAUAAAUUGAUACAACUUCUACAAGACGUUUUGCGACACCGGAUCAGACGUCAACAUAAUGGCCGCAGUCAACUAUCGACUCUUGUUCGGAACCAUGCCCCUAAAACCGACAUACAUUCAGCUCCAGAUGGCAGGUAAGACAUUUCGAGAGGUUAAAGGUAUAGUAACUGAUGUCCCUGUCAAAACAGACGAUCAUUUUAUCUACACAGACUUUUAGGUUUUUGACAUGGGAGAAGACGAAUAUGAUCCACCCGUAAUACUUGGAAGACCGUUCCUCAGUAUCGUUAAAGCAAUCAUCUACAUUGGAACUGGAGAAGUCCAUAUGCACUUUCCCUCAGAGAAGGUACGCCGCUACUUUACUGACCCUAACUAUAUCGUUGAAGACUCUAAGCAGGUCAGGACAAGAAGAAGACGACGCAACCGCAACCAGAAGAGGCAAAUCAUCAAGGACGGAUGGGCAGACUACGAAGGAGAAGUAGUAAGGUCUGAAGACAUACAGCUAGAACAAGAUUAUCCAAAGGAGACCGUAGCACCGAGUCAGGUGUGAAAGGAGAAGAUGCGCCGUCGGAAGCACCGACUACGCCACCCAACGAAUCCCAGGACAACUAAAGUAAAUGGAGAGUCCUGUUCGGAGGACUUAAAAACACCAAGCGCCAUGCCAAGAGGUAAACUUGGUAGUUAUCCUUUUCCCUUUCAAAUAUUUAAAAUAGUUUACUUAGUUAAUUAUGUUCAUACUAUCCUGAAAAGAAAAAAAAUGUUAAAAAAAUAUAAGCCCCAUGUGAGUAUACAAGUAGCAUAAACUCCAUAAGUACAUUCACUGUGGUGGCAUAAAAAUAAAAUAAAUAUUUUUUCUGCUUUAUAAAAAAUGAAAAUAUAAAAAUAGAGAGUAAUAUUUAUUGAGGAGGCUCAACAUGACAAAGGCUAGAUAUUUAUGCUAACACCUAAUUAGUUCCACAAAGCUUUGUUGUCUAUUUGAGCUUCACAGAAAUUAAGAAUCAAGAAGACUAGCAGACAGAGGACAUUCUAAUCGCUGUCUGGAUACUGCCGACUUUCAAAUACACCUCUGCCACCUGCUAGCUACAUCAGGAGAAAUUACAUCAAAAUUUAGCUUGGGGGAGAGCACCCCCAUUUAUCUCGCUAAGUAUUUAUAUCUAUCUUUAUACUUAUACUAUAUUAUAAUAUAAAUAUACAUAACUACGAAAAAAUCAAAUAAAGAUUUUGUGCCUAUAUAAAUAUAUGAUUUUUGCUUAGUGUGUUUAAUAAAUAAAUAAAGUGGCUAUGCUAAACUGAAUCUUAAUAGUAAAACUCUAGCAUGGAUAUGAUGAAUAGUUGCUCUGCCUAAUUUUCAAAUUUGAAGUUCUCUCUCAAGUUUAGACAUAACUGUUAUAAUUUAAAGCUUGCUCUAAAUCUGAAUUUGUGUGAACAAAACUUGAUCUAUAGUCUAAGUUGUUAACGGAUAUGAUAUGGGAAGGUUGAGCUGCUGUUUAUCUGUUCCUAGAGAUGCUAGAAUUCUGGAGAAUUUUAACUUUGAAAAUUUUUAAAAUAUCACAUGAUGAGUUCCUAUAUGAUGAGAGUUUAAAUUCCUACCACAGCCAUAUAUUCAUGCUUGCUAGACUUUGAAGCCACACAUUUACUUUUUACUGCUUAUGAGUAUAGAGUGUGGUCAAGCUGUGUAGACCCUUAGGAGCUUGUCAUGUGGUUAAAUCAAGAUUCACUUGCACGUUCAUUCACACACGCUGCUUCUACCCCGGAAGUACGCAUCCACAUAUAUCCACCCAUUUCCAUCUCUAGAACCACCCAAAAAUAUUCUACUCCUAAUUCGGGAGAGAAUAGCCAAAAAUAUUUCUAUUUUUUCCCUAUGAAGUAAAUGCUCAAGUUAUCUUGGUUACUACCACUUACUAUAUUAUUUCAGGAGGCGAGUGCUCUAAAAAAGAGAGAAAAGGGAAAAAUAGAUAUGAGGAAAUAAAAAGGGGUAAGUGCCCGGAACCUCGAAAGAAGGAAAAAGUGAGACGAGAGGUUAAAAUGGACAAGUGCCCCACAGUAGAAUUAGGGGUACAAAAUACCCACCUGAGAGGAAAGAAAAAGAAAAUACAGAGCAUCUCAGCUUCCUCAAAUGUUUCAAAAGAGCAAGGAAGGUAUGUAUCCCCUCAAAAGAGCAAAUGUAGAAUUAGACUUUCACCAUUGUUACCACCAUCAUCACCAUACACCAUUCAUUCACCACACAUGCACAUCUUGAUUUGACUUAUUGGCUUGUUUCUUUGGAUCCAUGGUUUGACUAUGCAAUAAAUGUCUUGUAAGUAUGUAUACUUUAUCUCCCACCUAUGAGCUCCAGAUUUCAAAAGCCUUAUUAGAGUAGAGUGAGAGAGAAGGCAAUGUCACUAUGCCUUAUACUACAAAUACUAUAUACCUUGAGAGAAGGCAUAUACCAUCACUGCCUUGGUAAGGAUCCAAAAAUAUCACAAAAGAGAGAUAUGAGAGAAUCAUACAAGGAAUCUCUGAGUUUUAUUUGAAAAUCUGCAAAAACUCCAGAGCUAUAGCUGAUCAAGAAUAAGAGACAUGGCACUUGAUUAGACCGUUGUAUCUUUUAACUACUCAAGACAGAAGUGACGGUUACAAGUCCCAUGGUGAAAGGUAAAAUGAAUAAGUUUUAAGUCUUGAUAGUUUACUCAAACUCAGAGAUGAGACCUCACUUAGAAGCAUGUGUACCGUCAAUUUUUCAAGGUAUUACAACAACUUCUGAUCCAUCGCUAAGAUUAUCCUUGCUCAGGGACGAGCAAGAGGUAAGCUUGGGGGAGUUUGUUGACGGUCCUUAAGUAUCAAAUUUAAUAAUCAAAUAAACAAAGAAAAGGAUACAAAUGAAAUCAACAUCCAGACUUAGGGUUUUAUCUGAUAGAAUUCCACGAGUUUUGGUGUUUAUCUAUUUCUGCAGGGGGUUAUGAGGAAAUAAGGAAGAAAGGCCCACACGUCGGGUUUACAUAGAGAUAUUAACGUACCGCACAAUUAUCUUACAUCUAGAAGACUCCAAAAGCCAUGAGAACGAAGCGGAGGUAGAACGGGGCCUGGCCUAGGGCGCCCGCCCUAGAGACCAGGGUGCCCGCCCCCCUUUGGAGUCCAAUCAGAGUCCUUUUCGCGGAUCAUGCUCCACCGACCUAAAGGACCAAGGAUAACCGUUCAAUCAAUGUCGGUUUGAUCCGACGGCCCAUAUUCACUUGGAAGGACUAUAUAACCAGACGCCCUGGCCCCUGGAGGAGAGCACCUCUCAACCCUAAUUCAUUAUUCAUCAAGGAGAAGAAGCCUCUGAUCAAGCCUAGAGCCACCACAUCAAUUAGAUAUCUAGAUUAGCAUUGCUACAUAGGAUUAGAACUAGAAGGAGUCAAUCUUCGAUUGGUUUCCGGAUCUGUCAAGAGGAUUCUUGGUAAUUCUCUAUUGUUCUUCAAUUGUUCAUCUUUGUUCUUCGAUAUUAUGAAUAUGACUUUGUUCUACCCUAAUAUAUUGAUUAUGACUUUGCUCUACUUGUUUAUAUUCGCAGUUAUAUUGUUCUUAGUUUAUCAUAGUUAUAUACUUGGCUUUGUUAGAUCGGAAUUAUGUACAUGUUUAGGAUCGUAUAGCGUUUAUCCAUCGGAUCCAUGGGUAAAUGAUAGAUAUUGUGUAGGCGUGGUGCUUAUACCGUAUUUAUCUGCGAUUGUACCCUGUAUGCCAGAUCGCGGGAUAGUUUGUGGUAGUGACAGCUCCAUUUAUUCUUAUAGAGUCCCCCGCUCGUGUAUUGGGCUGGCAAAGCAACAUUAUUAUAGGGGAGUGAUUGCGAUGUUUCUCAUAUUCCUUGAUAAUAUCGCUAUGCAUGGGCGUAGUCCUAUCUCACAAUGAUUGCUAAGUAUAAUUGCACUAACUAUGAUAUGCUAGACUAUAUAGUUAAGAAUAACUUAGGAAAUAUUCUUGUAGUUCGUCCUAAUUCCAUGCUAAUGACUUGCUAGUAUAUCUAAUUGAGGUUCUUAUCAUAUUUAUAUGUGGCUAAGUUAUGCUGAUCAGAUUAAUUAUCUUUGUCACCAUUCAUUACUUUAUAUAUAUCUUUUAUGUGACACUUAACCCUGUAUGAAAGAGAUAGAUAGAUGCUCUCAAUUAUACAUGCAAUGAUAGAUACUCAAUUCUAUAUUCUAUUCUAUAAUCAACAUUGAUGAUUACUAAUCCCUUCCCAAUGGUAAAAAUAUAAAUAACGAUACCUGGAAUACUUCUCGGUUAAAAUGCUACAUCGGUAUUAAUCUGUGCGCUUGCAGAUCCCAUUUAUUAUUUAUUUAGAUGAGCAAUUGCAUAUUUCAGUACCGUGUCUCCUAUGUCAUGCUGGGGAUGACAACUUGGCUUAAGUGCCAUGAGGGAUAGGUUUGGCAUUUUUUGCGCCGUUAUCAGAAUUAGAAAACUAAGUCUACUUUUGGUAGUGACGUUAAGAAUGCCCGACAGCGUUCAACAUGACAAGAGGACGUACAACUAUCGGUCCUUAGCUGCCACAGAUGGAGUUACUACAACCUUGCAAAAGUCCACCCAGCUUAAGUCAUUUUAAUCAGGUUCUUUCCCACGAUAGCACAUAUAGUCAAUCGUGAUCCGACACAACCCUAUUUCACGCAGGUGACAGGAUAUCACCCGACUUCUACCGAUUAAAGCAUGGCUAAGCUGCUACUCGAUCCUAACUCUACAACCAGGUAGUGGUAAGAUAUGUGGACAAGGAAGAGUAUAAUGCAGCAAGGGUUUCAUCACAACUCCUAUACGUAAUGCAUCAAUAGAUAUAACAUAAUCAAGUAAACUUUUGAAAUUAAAGUGGGACACUUAAGAUCCUCCGGGGCUUGCCUUUCACGAACGAAGCAGGCUCGUGAUUAGGGCACUCUAACCUCCUCUUCGGGCUCCUCGUGUCCGGUUGGCUGGACCUCCGCUUCCGGGUUGAACUCCUGGCCUUCGGUGUUCGCUUGAUGGAGCUCGAACGAAGCUGUCGUUUCUGGUGCACCUAUUGCAUGCACGAUGAAUAAGAAUGUGUGCAUACUAGAUGAGGAUGGAUGUUGCUGGGUAUUCUUAACAUCACUACCAAAAGUAGACUUAGUUUUCUAAUUUUGAUAACGGUGCCAAAAAUGCCAAACCUAUCCCUCAUACCACUUAAGCCAAGUUGUCAUCCCUGGCAUGACAUGAGAUAUGCGGUAUUGAAAUAUGCAAUUGCUCAUCUAAAAUAAAUAAUGAAUGGGAUCUGCAUGCGCACAGAUUAAUACCGAUGUAGCAUUUUAACCGGGAAGUAUUCUAGGUAUCGUUAUUUAUAUUUUUACCACUGGGAAGGGAGUAGUAACCAUCAAUGUUGAUUAUAGAAUAGAAAUGAGAUUGAGUAUCUAUCAUUGCAUGUAUAAUUGAGAACAUGUAUCUAACUCUUUCAUACAGGGAUAAGUGUCACAUAAAGGAUGUAUAAAGUAACGAAUAGUGACAAAGAUAAUUAAUCUGAUCAGCAUAACUUAGCCACAUAUAAAUAUGAUAAGCACCUCAAGUAGAUAUUCUAGAAAGUCAUUAGCAUGGUAUUAGAACGAACUACAAGAAUAUUUCCUAAGUUAUUCUUAACUAUAUAGACUAGCAUUAUCAUAGUUAGUGCAAGCAUACUUAGCAAUCAUUGCGAGAAAAGAUUACACCCAUGCAUAGUGAUAUUAGCAAGGAAAAUGAGAAACAUAGCAAUCACUCCCCUGUAAUAAUAUUGCUCUGCCGGCCCAAUACACGAGAGGGGGACUAUAUAAGAAUCAGUGAAGCUGUCACUAUCACGAACUACCCCACGAUCUGGCAUAUUGGGUACAAUCGCAGAUAAAUACGGUAUAAGCACCAUGCCUACACAAUAUCUAUCAUUUACCCAUGGAUCCGAUGGAUAAACGCUAUACGAUCCUAAACAUGUAUAUAGAUCUAAUCUAACUAAGCCAAGUAUAUAACUAUGAUAAACUAAGAACAAUAUAAUCUUGAACAUAAACAAGUAGAGCAAAGUCAUAAGCAAUAUAUUGAAGUAGAACAAAGUCAUAUUCAUAAUAUUGAAGAACAAAGAUGAACAAUUAGAAGAACAAUUAGAGAAUUACCAAGAAUCCUCUUGACAGACCCGGAAACCAACCGAAGAUUGACUCCUUCUAGUUCUAAUCCUAUGUAGCUAUGCUAAUCUAGAUGUCUAAUUGAUGUGGUGGCUCUAGGCUUGAUUAGAGGCUUCUUCUCCCUUGAGAAUAAUGAAUUAGGGUUGAGAGGCUCUCUCCUCCAGGGGCUAGGGGGUCUGGUUAUAUAGUCCUUCCAAGUGAAUAUGGUCCGUCGGAUCAAACCGACAUUGAUUGAACGGUUAUCCUUGAUCCUUUAGGUUGGUGGAGCGUAAUCCCGAAAGAGAGUUCUGAUUGGACUCUGUAAGGGGGUGGGCGCCCUGGUCUCCUGGGCGGGUGCCCACGGCCAGGCUCCGUUCGGCCUCCGCUUCCUUCCCGUGGCUUCCGGAGUCUUCUAGAUGUAAGAUAAUUGCACGGCACGUUGAUAUCUCUAUGUAAUCCCGACGUGUGGGCCUUUCUUCCGUAUUUCCUAAUAACCCCCUGAAGAAAUAGACAAACACCAAAACUCAUGGAAUUUUGUCAGAUAAAACCCAGAGUCUAGAUAUUGAUUUCAUUUGGAUCCUUUUCUUUGUUUAUUUGAUAAUUAAAUUUGAUACUUAAGGACCGUCAACAAACUCCCCCAAGCUUACCUCUUGCUCGUCCCUGAGCAAGGAUGGACUCAAGAGUUUCUGCAGUGGUUUCAUGCCUUAAAGGUACACAUGCGUUCAAACAAGAUCUCAUCUCUAGGUUAGGGUAAACUGUUAAGACUUAAAACUUACUCAUUUUACCUUCCACCAUGUGGCUUGCAACCGUCACUUGUGUCUUGAGCAGUUAAAGGAUAGAACGGUCUAGUCAAGCGCCAUGUCUCUUAUUCUUGAUCAGCUAUAGCUCUGGGGUUUUUGCAGGUUUUCAAAUAAAACUCAGAGAUUCCUUGUAUGACUCUCUAAAUCUCUCUUUUGUGGUAUUUCUGGAUCCUUACCAAGGCAUUGAUGGUAUAUGCCUUCUCUCAAAGUAUGUAGUAUUUGUGGUAUAAGGCAUAGUGACAUUGCCUUCUUUCUCAUCCUACUCUAAUUCGACUUUUAUAUCUAGAGCUCAUAGGUGGAAGAUAAAAUAUACAUACUUACAAGACAUUUAUUGUAUAGUCAAACCAUGGAUCCAAAGAAACAAGUUAAUAAGUCAAAUCAAGAUGUGCAUGUGUGGCGAAUGAAUGGUGUAUGGUGAUAACAAUGGUGAAAGUCUAAUUCUACUUUUGCUCUUUGAGGGGAUACAUACCUUUCUUGCUCUUUUGAAACUUUGGGGAGAAUGAGAUGCUCUUCUUUUUCUUUUCUCUCAGGUGGGUAUCUUGUACAUCUAAUUCUACUGUCGGACACUUGUCCAUUUUUACCUCUCGUCUCACUUUUUCUUUUCUUUCGAGGUUCCGGGCACUUGCCCCUUUUUAUUUCCUCGUAUCUUCUUUUUUUUCGAGCACUCAUCUCUUGAGAUAAUAUAGCAAGUGGUAGUAACAAGAUAACUUGAGCAUUUAUUUCACAGGGGAAAAACAAAAAUGUUUUUGGCUAUUCUCUCCCGGAGUAGGAGUAGAAUAUUUUUGGGUGGUUCUGG